rnacentral:rRNA from 1 species
UGGGGAAUCUUCCGCAAUGGACGAAAGUCUGACGGAGCAACGCCGCGUGAGUGAUGACGGUCUUCGGAUUGUAAAGCUCUGUUAAUCGGGACGAAUGGUUUGUGUGCAAAUAGUACAUAGACAUGACGGUACCGGAAUAGAAAGCGACGGCUAACUACGUGCCAGCAGCCGCGGUAAUACGUAGGUGGCAAGCGUUGUCCGGAAUUAUUGGGCGUAAAGCGCGCGCAGGCGGACUAGCCAGUCAGUCUUAAAAGUUCGGGGCUUAACCCCGUGAUGGGAUUGAAACUACUAGUCUAGAGUAUCGGAGAGGAAAGUGGAAUUCCUGGUGUAGCGGUGAAAUGCGUAGAUAUUAGGAAGAACACCAGUGGCGAAGGCGACUUUCUGGACGAACACUGACGCUGAGGCGCGAAAGCCAGGGGAGCGAACGGG